rnacentral:rRNA from 1 species
UACGUGGGGGGCAAGCGUUGUUCGGAAUUAUUGGGCGUAAAGGGUGCGUAGGCGGCGCGGUAAGUCGGGUGUGAAAUCUCGGAGCUUAACUCCGAAACUGCAUUCGAUACUGCCGUGCUUGAGGACUGGAGAGGAGACUGGAAUUUACGGUGUAGCGGUGAAAUGCGUAGAUAUCGUAAGGAAGACCAGUGGCGAAGGCGGGUCUCUGGACAGUUCCUGACGCUGAGGCACGAAGGUCAGGGGAGCAAACGGG